GAGAUACAUACGUGUGAUGUGCAAUUCCUCAGCAGAAAAGAUGGCUGCACGGUUUGGUUAAGCAACUUCAUCCAAGUAGUUUUGCAAAAAGUCAAAGGUUUCUUGUACUAAAGCUAAGGGAAGAUGGCAAUAUAAAAGUGCAGUGACAUCUUGGAGAUACAGAACCAUACAACAGGGUCUUCAUAGGGUUUUCCAGCAAAUCCCCAGUGGAUGAAGGAUUUCUGUAUACUGAG
rnacentral:lncRNA from 1 species